UUAGACAGCUAGGAUGUUGGCUUAGAAGCAGCCAUCAUUUAAAGAAAGCGUAAUAGCUCACUAGUCGAGUCGGCCUGCGCGGAAGAUGUAACGGGGCUGAAAUAUAGCACCGAAGCUGCGGCAUCAGAAUUUAUUCUGUUGGGUAGGGGAGCGUUGUGUAAGCGGAAGAAGGUUGAUCGAGAGGUGGGCUGGACGUAUCACAAGUGCGAAUGCUGACAUAAGUAACGAUAAAACGGGUGAAAAACCCGUUCGCCGGAAGACC
rnacentral:rRNA from 1 species